rnacentral:rRNA from 1 species
GCAUGCCAUAGGAUGAGCCCAAGUGGGAUUAGGUAGUUGGGGGGGUAAAUGCCUACCAAGCGUGCGAUCUGUAGCUGUCGAGAGGAUGACCAGCCACACUGGAACUGAGACACGGUCCAGACUCCUACGGGAGGCAGCAGUGGGGAAUAUUGCGCAAUGGGGGGAACCCUGACGCAGCCAUGCCGCGUGAACGAAGAAGGCCUUAGGGUUGUAAAGUUCUUUCGGUAUUGAGGAAGGUUGAUGUGUUAAUAGCACAUCAAAUUGACGUUAAAUACAGAAGAAGCACCGGCUAACUCCGUGCCAGCAGCCGCGGUAAUACGGAGGGUGCGAGCGUUAAUCGGAAUAACUGGGCGUAAAGGGCACGCAGGCGGUUAUUUAAGUGAGGUGUGAAAGCCCCGGGCUUAACCUGGGAAUUGCAUUUCAGACUGGGUAACUAGAGUACUUUAGGGAGGGGUAGAAUUCCACGUGUAGCGGUGAAAUGCGUAGAGAUGUGGAGGAAUACCGAAGGCGAAGGCAGCCCCUUGGGAAUGUACUGACGCUCAUGUGCGAAAGCGUGGGGAGCAAACAGG